rnacentral:lncRNA from 1 species
GUGCCCUGGGCUGCGGAGCAGACUGCAUGCUGGGCAACCUUGCUGGCCCCAGAACACAGCAUGUUUUUGUGACGCACUCAGCUCUGAGGUGGACAUGUUUUGUGCUGGAUCAGGGAAUCACCUUAGGUGAUGGUGUGAAGGAGAGCCCCUGCCAGGCAGCAGAUACCAGAUGAUGAAACAAUUAUUCUGAACUGACAUCUUGGGAAUGGAGUCAGAGCAUGCAUGCUAACGUAGUAAAUAAAUUAAUGUCUG